rnacentral:lncRNA from 1 species
GGAUGGAGCCAGAUGGGCAGAAACCAGGUUCAGGAAGAAAGGAGGCCAGCCCCAAGGUCCCAGGGAUUCAUCAUGGCCCUUAUAGGGUACCCCAUUUCAGCUCAGUGUGACAGGAGGCCACAGGAUGCAUGGUCCAUAUCUUGGUGCCAGCAUCAUGGAGAAGGGUCAUUGAAAGUCUCUGGCUCGUGUGCUUCUGGUACAAGCAGCAAACCACCCCAAUAAGAAGUAAACAAGGGACCACAAGACGGCUCACUGGGUAAAAGCAAUUGCAGCAAAGCUUGAGGGCCUGAGUUCAAACCCAAGACCUACAUGGUAAAGGGGGAGAACUGACUCCUGAAAGUUGUCCUCUAACCUCUACAUGCGGGAACCCCCACACAUGAACACAAAAUAAAUUAAAAUGUACUUUUUUUUUUCAUGAAUAAAAUGUCUGAGCUCACAUAACCAACUUGAGGGAAGCAGUCCCAGGGAUGUUUAGAAGAAACCUGGGUUUUCUGCAGAUCUGCUUGGUCUUGGACUUUAGACACAUCU